CCUCUCUGGACUGGCUCUUCCACCUACAGGUGGACUCACCUGGAAAGAGGAACUAUCGUGGCCGAGAGCAGCACCUCCCGCUCAGCAAAGCACUUGGACGCCCCAGGACACUUUACAAAAUGCAGAUGCCCAGGCUGGGCCCCCCAGGUCCUUCUGAUCCAUGAUGGGCCUGAGACCCUCUGGCUAGUCGGUCCAGCCCCAAGCAGACAUCAGGACUCUGUCACAUCUAUCUCCCACCUAUUCCACUCCACCUUUUGCUUUGCAGGUCAUGCUCUGGCCAAAUUAAAUCAAAUAUCAUCAUCGAAGCAAACACGCACUUGAAGCCUCUGUGCCUGCGCUUCCCUGCCUGAGAGAAAGCUCCGCCAGGCCUGGAGGAUGCAGCUGGAUGGCCCACAGGCCCAGCUCAAGUCUCCCAACACCACUGGCAGGGUAAGUCAGCCCUCCUGUGCCCACAGCUCUUGGGCUAGGUCUCCAUUCCAACCCACUCACAUCAUGCCAUCAUCAGCGACUACUUCACCCCCAAAAUAGGACACGAUGGGCUUUGUGUCUGAAUCACUGUUGGUCUUUGCAACAGCUUUCUGUGCCUGACACAUGACAUUCAAUACCUGCUAGCCAAGUAAAAGAAAACCACAUGAACCCUUUUUGUUUUUUCAGUCAUUAUAAAUGUAGCACUGAUGUUUAUAAACAUAGCACCGUAUUAAAAAAGAAAAAAAAGACUCGUAUUGAGACAACUGGGAAAUCUGCUGUGAAAAAAAAUAAAGUUAGACUCCUGCUUCCUAAAUCCCACUAAAACCGAUUCCAGAUCUAGCAAAGGUUUGAGUAGAAACAAUGAAACCAGAAAAUAUUAGGAAAAACAUGUGCUUUUAAAAUAAAUCUCACAAGCCAGGUGUGGUAGCACAUGCCUAUAGUGUCAGCCACUCAGGAGGCUGAGGCAAGAGGAUCGCUUGCUUGAGGCCAGGAAUUCAAGGCUGUUGUGUGCCAUGACUGCACCUGUGGAUAGAACAGCCACUUCACUCCAGCCUAGGUGACAGCAAGACCCUGUCUCAAAAAAAGUAAAAGCAAAAUAAAAUAAUCUCAGCAUAAAGAAAAACUACCACCUAGAUGGGCACAGUGGCUCACGCCUGUAUCCCAGCACUUUGGGAGGCUGAGGUGGGUGGACCACUUGAGGUCAGGAGUUCAAGACCAGCCUGGCCAACAUGGCAAAACCCCAUCUCUAAUAAAAAUACAAAAAUUAGCUGGGUGUGGUGGUGGGUGCCUAUAAUCCCAGCUGCUUGGGAGGCUGAGGCAUGAGAAUCGCUCGAACUCAGGAAGUGGAGGUUGCAGUGAGCCGAGAUCAUGCUAUUGCACUCCAGCUUGUACAACAGAGUGAGACUCCAUCUCAAACAAAAAAAAAAAAAAAAAAAAAAGGGAAAACCACCACGUAAGUACCUUUGUGGUAUCACAUCAUGUCCAACAACACUCGCAGAAGAAACUCAGAACUACAAUGAGCUUGUGCUUAUCACAUAGGGAGAGACUCAAAGUCGUUGCACACACAGCAGAUGAGGGCAUGGGGAAGUUAAAUGGGAACAACCUCUAUGUGCAGCAAUUCAGGGAUCCCUCUCAAAGUCCGAGUGCACAUCCCAGCAAUUCCACUCCUUGGAAUGAACUUAAUAGUCCAGUUAUUUAUUGAGUACCUACUGCAUGCUUGGCCUAGUCCAGGAUGCAGGGAAUACAGCACAAAGCAACACCAGGUCCUUGGGGAGGAUAUGGCUGGGCAGGGGGGCUCAUGGGGCUGAGGGAGGGAGCAGGGGUGUAGAAUGUGGGUCUGCUCUAGGGGUGCUGGGAGGCAGCAGAGGGUUUGCAUAGGUGUGGGAUAAUCUGACUUCAAGUGUUAAAGGGACCUCUCUGGCUGCCACAUAGAAGAGGAUGAAUGGGCCCUGGGUAGCAGUGGUGGAGGAUGCGAGGGAAGUCAGAAUCCAGGCAGACCUGGGAUGGCGGGACAUGGGAGGGGGAGGGGAAGGUGAGUCAAGAAUGACCUGAGGCAGAGCUGGGCAUGGGCUCACACCUGCCAUGGGCUCACACCUAUAAUCCUAGUGCUUUGGGAGGCGAAGGCAAGAGGACCACUUGAGGCCAGGAGUUUGAGAAGAGCCUGAUUAACACAAUGAGACCUCAUCUUUACAAAAAAGCAAAAGGAACAACCCAUGGCUUUGGCUUAGGCAUGACAGGAAGGGACUGGCAGUCUGAUGUGGGACUUCAGGUGUGUUAAACGGGACCUGCCCAUUGGACAGCCUGGGUGGCCUGGAGGAGGUGGCAGCAAUGUGGAAGGAGCCCAGGCUGGGGGUCGGGAGAUGAGGAGCUAGCAGGGUGAGUCAGGAGGGGUAAGGUCCUGAAAGCCACAGGAAAGAGCACUUCAGGGCAGUUAUCACCAUGUGGGGGACACUGACAGGCCAGGCGAGAUGGCAGCUGAGACCUGACUGUAGGGUCUGGCAAACAGAGCCCUGGGUAAUCCUGAUGGGGCCAUGUGGUGAGUGACAGAUGAAAGCUGCAUGGGGUGAGCUCAACAAAACCUGGGAGAUGGGAGAAGGCUGGUGCACUGUCCCCUCUUGUUUCAGGAUGGUGGCUGUGCCAGCAUGUUCUCCGCUGAUGGGACUGCUCUGGCGAGAAGGAAAAGAGAAGCUGCGUGCCGGAGGGGAAGGAACUGCUGCAGUGAUGGCCUUGGGAGGGUGAGGGGCAAGAGAGGCAGCCGGUCAGCAUCCAGGCGAUGCAGAGCUGCCACAAGGCUGCACUUCUCUUGGUGGAGGAGGAGGCAUGGUACGGCUGUCCACUGAGGGAGGACAGGUGGUGAUGCUGCGGGCAGGCCCACAGCAGAGGAAGCACUGGAUUUAGUUAGAUGGGAGAGUCCAGGUGAGUAGGAGGGAGAGGGAGUGGGUCAGGGUUCGAGGGGAGAGAUUACAAGGACAGAACCUGACUCUGAGUUGGGUGAAGAGGGAGGUGAGGGUUGGGGAGGGUCCACAGAGGGUGUGCUCUGUGGGGUCCAGGAAGUGAGGCACAAGAGCAGGAAGUGGGAGUCAAAGAAGCAACUCCCAGAGGGUGGGAGGCUCAAACAGGAAUUACAGAGGGGCCUGGGUGGUGGCAUGCUGACCCAGGGAGGGCAAGGGCUGUGAGACAGGUAGAGAGUGAAGUCACCUGGGGAGACUCACAGGAGUCAGUGGUGGGCCCUGACAAGACUGUCCAUGUGGACUCUGAGUCCCCAGGAGGUAGGACAGGGCAGCGCUGGAGUGGCCUCAGGCUGGGCACGGUGGUGCCUGUGAUGAACCACAUCACUGGGGAGUUCUCUGCAGCAUUAUCAAUCAUGAUAAAAGGUUAGAAACAAGCUGGUGUCUGUCAACAGGGAGGUGGUUAAAUAAAAGCAUGGCAUUCUCUGGCCGGGCGCGGUGGCUCACGCCUGUAAUCCCAGCACUUUGGGAGGCCAAGGUGGGCAGAUCACGAGGUCAGGAGAUCAAGACCAUCCUGACUAACGUGGUGAAACCCCGUCUCUACUAAAAAUACUA
rnacentral:lncRNA from 1 species